CAUCAGGAGUUGUCAUCUCACAAUAGGAAUAUCUCGAGCCACUGUCGUGGCAUCAAAACUCAGGCAUUGCCCUCUCACAAUGGGAGCAUCUCGAGCAAGCGUCAGUAAGAGCCUCCGUAUUAUGCCCAGCUGAAGCGUAUGGUGGUGCUACCAUUACGGUCCAUGUUCCGGCUUCCACUCCUGUUGGACAAUGCAAGAGGGGACUAUUGGUGCCGGUUGGUAAAGGGAUAUAGGUGCUGGACAAUGCAUCGAAGAAUGUUGAUCACUGGUUACAUGUCUUAGAUCCUCGAGAUAGAAUUGUGUUUUAGAUCAAAUACGACAUCUUUGCACUUUAUCACCAUUUCUUUUGAUCCAUAGAAGCCCGGAUGAAGAAACAACCUUAUAUAUGCAACACAAUAAGAAAUUAUUAGUAGUCUACAAUUUGUAUUACUACAAGUGGAAAGUUUAGUCAUUACGAAGGAUUG
rnacentral:lncRNA from 1 species